rnacentral:misc_RNA from 1 species
UCAAACUUGGUCAUUUAGAGGAAGUAAAAGUCGUAACAAGGUCUCCGUUGGUGAACCAGCGGAGGGAUCAUUACAGAGUUUUCUAUAAAACUCCCAACCCUUUGUGAACCUUACCGUAGUUGCCUCGGCGGCGAGCCGCGCGUCGGAAUCCAGAAGGGGCUACCCUGCUGGUAGCCACCUACCCCGUGUAGGUGGUUACCUUGGAGCUACCCUGGAGCUACCCUGAAGUGGACGCCGGCCCCGUCGAAGGACCACGCAAACUCUUGUUCUUUUUUUGUGUCUCUCUGAAUUAAGAAACAAAAGAAAAUCGUUAAAAACUUUCAACAACGGAUCUCUUGGUUCUGGCAUCGAUGAAGAACGCAGC